CUUUCCCAAGCACCUGUGCUGCUGCUGCACUGCUAAUUAGCUAACUAGCUAACUUUGCUGUACUACUGUUGGUUCUCAUAUAGCAUUUCACAAGCAAGCUAGCCCACUAACCCUAAGGAAUUGGUGGAGAAACAACUGUAUUAAAAUUAUUAGUCUUAACCUAGAACCUCAGCCUGUAAGUGGAGUUUUCCUGUCCUGCUUAGCUUUCAUCAGCUUGGGACACCAUUGGCUCUUUUUAAAUGGAAACCUUUCUGCUGACCUGCUGGGGAACACAGCUUCACUUCACCAAAUUGUUCCCACCAGUUUGCGCUCUGGGUGGUGACCCGAAUCUGAACUCUACACUGGAGAAACGGUGAUAACGUCCAGGGGAUCAACAAACCCACCAUCUGCCGUCUGGCUCGCCGUGGCGGAGUGAAGAGCAUCUCCGGUCUGAUCUACGAGGAGACAUGCGGUGUGCGGAAGGUGUUACCGGACAACGUGAUCCGUGAUGCCGUCCCUUAACACUGAGCACGGCAAGAGGAAGACGUUGACUGCCAUGGAUGUGAUAUUAUUAUUAUUAUUAUUAUUAUUAUUAUUAUUAUUAUUAUAAUAAUAAUAAUAAUAAUAAU